rnacentral:rRNA from 1 species
GUAGGGUCCAAGCGUUAAUCGGAAUUACUGGGCGUAAAGCGUGCGCAGGCGGUUGUGCAAGACCGAUGUGAAAUCCCCGGGCUUAACCUGGGAAUUGCAUUGGUGACUGCACGGCUAGAGUGUGUCAGAGGGGGGUAGAAUUCCACGUGUAGCAGUGAAAUGCGUAGAGAUGUGGAGGAAUACCGAUGGCGAAGGCAGCCCCCUGGGAUAACACUGACGCUCAUGCACGAAAGCGUGGGGGGAGCAAACAGGAUUAGAUACCCUGGUAGUCCACGCCCUAAACGAUGUCAACUAGUUGUUGGGGAUUCAUUUCCUUAGUAACGUAGCUAACGCGUGAAGUUGACCGCCUGGGGAUACGGUCGCAAGAUUA